AAAAUUUGAUCUCGGUAUGUAACUACUUUCUUCUUUCAUUAGGGUUUGUUAUUGAAUUUGAUUUUUCUUGUGUUUUGAAAAUCCCAAUAAUUUUGAUUGUUAUGAUAUCAAUUUGGGUUGGGUGAUUUUCCUAUUCUAUUUUGGAUUGUUAGGAAACUGCAUUCAGAUUUUUGUUGUGUAUUUCACAUGCAAUAAUUAAUGUGAUGUUUUGCCGUCAGAAUUAACAUUAUGGGUUUCUUUAUUUUAGUUGGGUAUCAGUUUUUUGGGCUCAUAUGAGUUUAUUUUGGAGUUUUUUCGUAGCUUCUAGGCAAUGAAAUUGAAAAUUUUCCCCAUUAGAUCCCGACGAUAUUGCGUUCAACUUAUGCAUUACCAUACUAUAUUUAUUUGGUUUUAGUAUCUCUUUUAUCUCUUUAUGAUGUUCCGACAAAACAAAAAUAGCAACAUAUGAAUUUUAGUCGCAAGGGAAUGACCUAACGAUUGAGAAAUAGUUGAGGGGAAAUUGGGAAUCGAGGUUGGAAUCCCAAUAGAGGAAUAACUCAAAAAGUGCAGAAAUUUCUUGCAUCUGCCUAAGUUUAAUGAAUGGAGUUAGUCAAUAUAUGUGUUGCUAGGUCCCUAUAGGAAUAAUUGAAAAAGUGCAAAAAUUGCUUGCAUCUGCCUUUUCAAUCUUUCUGUUCAGUAUCCCCUUUUAAACUCACUUCUUAUGUUUGAUUUUCUUCUCAUUCUUUCUCUUCUCGCAUUUUUUGGGCUUCUUUUGGUAAAGUCCUUCACAGAUUUGACUCUUUUCCUCGCUAAAGUUUCACUCUUUAUACUUUAUGUUAUGUAAUAUAUGAUUAUAGUAAUGUUUUGAUUAAGUUUCUGUAUUUAGAGUUUAACUUCUUGUUCUUGUGCUUUAUUGAUGUUUUGGUAAUUUUUCUUAUAUGGAUUCUUAUGUUAUGUUUUAUUUGGUUAUUCCAUGACCCCUUCUGGCUUCAGAAUCAAUAAUAGUGUUUUGUUUCUUGUGUGUAGUUGCAUUCUUUGAAAGGAUUUUGAUGAUCUACUAGACUAGAAAACAUCAUAUAAAAGUGUCUUGGGUUGAUCACUUUUGAACAACUAUGAAAUAUGUCCAGUGUCUGAUUUGGAUAGUACUAUUGUUUUGUAAUGGAUCUUGUCAAGUACAAUUGUUAUGUCACUAUUAUAACAUAACUGGUAGGGCUUUGUGUUAAAAAGUCAUUACUUUAUGCCUAGAUUUGAAUCCCAAUAAGAUGCCUCAAUAGUCAAAUAUCCUAUUUUAUGUUAAUAUAACACUCAUUUUCU
rnacentral:lncRNA from 1 species